GACGAACGCUGGCGGCGUGCUUAACACAUGCAAGUCGAACGGAAAGGCCCUGCUUUUGUGGGGUGCUCGAGUGGCGAACGGGUGAGUAACACGUGAGUAACCUGCCCUUUACUUUGGGAUAACUUCAGGAAACUGGGGCUAAUACCGGAUAGGAGCUCCUGCUGCAUGGUGGGGGUUGGAAAGUUUCGGCGGUUGGGGAUUGACUCGCGGCUUAUCAGCUUGUUGGUGGGGUAGUGGCUUACCAAGGCUUUGACGGGUAGCCGGCCUGAGAGGGUGACCGGCCACAUUGGGACUGAGAUACGGCCCAGACUCCUACGGGAGGCAGCAGUGGGGAAUAUUGCACAAUGGGCGGAAGCCUGAUGCAGCAACGCCGCGUGCGGGAUGACGGCCUUCGGGUUGUAAACCGCUUUCGCCUGUGACGAAGCGUGAGUGACGGUAAUGGGUAAAGAAGCACCGGCUAACUACGUG
rnacentral:rRNA from 1 species